GGCUACCAUGCAGUCGAGGGGCAGCAUUUCAGUUUGCUUGCAAACUGGAGAUGGCGACCGGCGCACGGGCUGAGUAACACGCUAUCCAACCUGCCGAUAACUCGGGGAUAGCCUUUCGAAAGAAAGAUUAAUACCCGAUGGUAUAAUCANACCGCAUGGUCUUGUUAUUAAAGAAUUUCGGUUAUCGAUGGGGAUGCGUUCCAUUAGGCAGUUGGUGAGGUAACGGCUCACCAAACCUUCGAUGGAUAGGGGUUCUGAGAGGAAGGUCCCCCACAUUGGAACUGAGACACGGUCCAAACUCAUACGGGAGGCAGCAGUGAGGAAUAUUGGUCAAUGGGCGCAGGCCUGAACCAGCCAAGUAGCGUGAAGGAUGACUGCCCUAUGGGUUGUAAACUUCUUUUAUAUGGGAAUAAAGUUUUCCACGUGUGGAAUUUUGUAUGUACCAUAUGAAUAAGGAUCGGCUAACUUCCGUGCCAGCAGCCGCGGUAAUACGGAGGAUCCGAGCGUUAUCCGGAUUUAUUGGGUUUAAAGGGAGCGUAGGUGGACAGUUAAGUCAGUUGUGAAAGUUUGCGGCUCAACCGUAAAAUUGCAGUUGAUACUGGCUGUCUUGAGUACAGUAGAGGUGGGCGGAAUUCGUGGUGUAGCGGUGAAAUGCUUAGAUAUCACGAAGAACUCCGAUUGCGAAGGCAGCUCACUGGACUGCAACUGACACUGAUGCUCGAAAGUGUGGGUAUCAAACAGGAUUAGAUACCCUGGUAGUCCACACAGUAAACGAUGAAUACUCGCUGUUUGCGAUAUACAGUAAGCGGCCAAGCGAAAGCAUUAAGUAUUCCACCUGGGGAGUACGCCGGCAACGGUGAAACUCAAAGGAAUUGACGGGGGCCCGCACAAGCGGAGGAACAUGUGGUUUAAUUCGAUGAUACGCGAGGAACCUUACCCGGGCUUAAAUUGCAUUUUGAAUAUAUUGGAAACAGUAUAGCCGUAAGGCAAAUGUGAAGGUGCUGCAUGGUUGUCGUCAGCUCGUGCCGGGAGGUGUCGGCUUAAGUGCCAUAACGAGCCCAACCCUUAUCUUUAGUUACUAACAGGUCAUGCUGAGGACUCUAGAGAGACUGCCGUCGUAAGAUGUGAGGAAGGUGGGGAUGACGUCAAAUCAGCACGGCCCUUACGUCCGGGGCUACACACGUGUUACAAUGGGGGGUACAGAAGGCAGCUACCUGGUGACAGGAUGCUAAUCCCAAAAGCCUCUCUCAGUUCGGAUCGAAGUCUGCAACCCGACUUCGUGAAGCUGGAUUCGCUAGUAAUCGCGCAUCAGCCAUGGCGCGGUGAAUACGUUCCCGGGCCUUGUACACACCGCCCGUCAAGCCAUGAAAGCCGGGGGUACCUGAAGUACGUAACCGCAAGGAGCUCCUAGGAAA
rnacentral:rRNA from 1 species